rnacentral:rRNA from 1 species
UACUCCUACGGGAGGCAGCAGUGGGGAAUAUUGGACAAUGGGCGAAAGCCUGAUCCAGCCAUGCCGCGUGUGUGAAGAAGGUCUUCGGAUUGUAAAGCACUUUAAGUUGGGAGGAAGGGCAGUAAGUUAAUACCUUGCUGUUUUGACGUUACCAACAGAAUAAGCACCGGCUAACUUCGUGCCAGCAGCCGCGGUAAUACGAAGGGUGCAAGCGUUAAUCGGAAUUACUGGGCGUAAAGCGCGCGUAGGUGGUUCAGCAAGUUGGAUGUGAAAUCCCCGGGCUCAACCUGGGAACUGCAUCCAAAACUACUGAGCUAGAGUACGGUAGAGGGUGGUGGAAUUUCCUGUGUAGCGGUGAAAUGCGUAGAUAUAGGAAGGAACACCAGUGGCGAAGGCGACCACCUGGACUGAUACUGACACUGAGGUGCGAAAGCGUGGGGAGCAAACAGGAUUAGAUACUCUGGUAGUCCACGCCGUAAACGAUGUCGACUAGCCGUUGGGAUCCUUGAGAUCUUAGUGGCGCAGCUAACGCGAUAAGUCGACCGCCUGGGGAGUACGGCCGCAAGGUUAAAACUCAAAUGAAUUGACGGA